CGGCGCACGGGUGCGUAACGCGUAUGGAAUCUACCUUUAACAGAGGAAUAGCCCAGAGAAAUUUGGAUUAAUGCCUCAUAGUAUUAUUAACUGGCAUCAGUUUGAUAAUUAAAGCUCCGGCGGUUAAAGAUGAUCAUGCGUCAGAUUAGCUAGUUGGUAUGGUAACGGCAUACCAAGGCAACGAUCUGUAGGGGCCCUGAGAGGGGGAGCCCCCACACUGGUACUGAGACACGGACCAGACUCCUACGGGAGGCAGCAGUGAGGAAUAUUGCGCAAUGGGCGAAAGCCUGACGCAGCCACGCCGCGUGAAGGAAGACGGCCUUAUGGGUUGUAAACUUCUUUUAUAUAGGAAGAAUCCCCUAAUACGUGUAUUAGGUUGACGGUACUAUACGAAUAAGCACCGGCUAACUCCGUGCCAGCAGCCGCGGUAAU
rnacentral:rRNA from 1 species